rnacentral:siRNA from 1 species
AAUCACUUUGCCUGACUUAGCAUC